rnacentral:misc_RNA from 1 species
ACUUCGAGUACAGCUCGGAGCUGGGCCAGACCCUCAUACACGGAAUGGGAGAGCGCCAUUUCGACACCAUCCUCCAUCGCCUCGAGCGCAAGUUCGGCGUGCAUGCGGAGCUGACCCGUCCGCGGGUGGCCUAUCGUGAGACGAUCAAGGGGAAGGCCGAGGGCCAGGGAAAGCACAAGAAGCAAUCGGGCGGACGGGGUCAGUACGGCGACUGCUGGAUCCGGAUGGCGCCGAGGCCCCGAGGCGCCGGCUACGAGUUCGUGGACGAGAUCGUGGGCGGCGUGAUCCCCAACAAGUACAUCCCGGCGGUCGAUCGUGGCGUCCAGGAGGCGGCCGAGCGGGGCGUCGUGG